rnacentral:rRNA from 1 species
CCUACGGGUGGCAGCAGUGGGGAAUAUUGGACAAUGGGGGCAACCCUGAUCCAGCCAUGCCGCGUGUGUGAAGAAGGCCCUCGGGUUGUAAAGCACUUUCAGUGAGGAAGAACGCCUGGUGGUUAAUACCCAUCAGGAAAGACAUCACUCACAGAAGAAGCACCGGCUAACUCCGUGCCAGCAGCCGCGGUAAUACGGAGGGUGCGAGCGUUAAUCGGAAUUACUGGGCGUAAAGCGCGCGUAGGUGGCUUGAUAAGCCGGUUGUGAAAGCCCCGGGCUCAACCUGGGAACGGCAUCCGGAACUGUCAAGCUAGAGUGCAGGAGAGGAAGGUAGAAUUCCCGGUGUAGCGGUGAAAUGCGUAGAGAUCGGGAGGAAUACCAGUGGCGAAGGCGGCCUUCUGGACUGACACUGACACCGAGGUGCGAAAGCGUGGGUAGCAAACAGGAUUAGAUACCCCAGUAGUC